rnacentral:rRNA from 1 species
UACGGAGGAUGCGAGCGUUAUCCGGAUUUAUUGGGUUUAAAGGGUGCGUAGGCGGGCAUUUAAGCCGGCGGUCAAAUGUCGGGGCUCAACCCCGGGACUGCAUUUGGAACUGUGUAGCUGGAGUGUCGGAGAGGCAGGCGGAAUUCCUAGUGUAGCGGUGAAAUGCGUAGAUAUUAGGAGGAACACCAGUGGCGAAGGCGGCCUGCUGGACGAUGACUGACGUUGAGGCUCGAAAGCGUGGGGAGCAAACAGG